GUGGCUGUGGCUCAGUGGUAGAGCGCUUGCCUAGCAUGCAGGAGGCACUGGGUUUGAAGCUCAGCACCACA
rnacentral:tRNA from 1 species